UGUUGGAAUAAAAGAAAAGAAUAAAAAAAGGGCUUAAAGCCUAAAAGGCUAACGUUGGACCUAACAGAGAACACAACGUUGUUCUGUAACGCAGCAAACGCAGAGCAAAAAGAAAGUUUUAGGGUUAUCUACAAACUACAAAUUCUUGGAAUCAGAAUCGAUUGUUUGACUGGUGUCAAUUGGAUUUGGGCCUAUGUAUUGGCUCGAGGAGUUUUGAGGUGAGUUGAUAUAAUCCUUACUAAAGUGGUUUAACUCACAAAAGCGCGCAUACAAGGUGUUUGAUGAAUUGCUUAAAAGAAUUUAUCUUUAUUUAAUUAGAGCGAACGAGUACCCAUUAAUUUAGAAUUGUUCUAGCAAAAGUUUAGAUGAUCUAUUAUGCUAUAUAUGCUUAAAUUUUCAAAUUUUGCAAGGUUUCUUAAAAUGUAAAAAUAUUCUGAUUCCGAGACAUUGGCUUAAGGGGCGUUUUGGUAAUUUUACCUAUCUUUGCGCCGUAGCUUCAAUUUUUCAGUGUAAUUAGUUAAUUGCAUUGUUAUUUAUAUGUUGUAACUGGUUUGAAUAGAUUCGGGCCACUCGGAGUUGGAUACUCGUGGCAAGGGCUUUGCUUCCUAUUGAUUUUGGUACCGGUUCGAGGUAAGUGGCUUGUCUAACCUUGUGUGGUGGUGUACUCAUGCUACUCUUCUGCAUACUUUUGUUGUGCAGAUCUAGGUACUUCCGGCACGGCAUUCCAGCAGUGAGUCCGGAGCUGAUCCCAGGAGACUUGAGGUAUGAAUCUGCCGCGUCCGCAGAUCUGACGAGUCCUCCUUCCACUCUAUCCAUAGUUAGAUAGCAUCUCUUUCUGUUUCAUUUUGUAUUAGACUUCCGGAUGAUUAGAGCUUGAUUUAUUCUAAGUUUUAGUCUAUGUUGUCCGUGAGUUUUCGGGUUUUGGGAAUGGUAUCAAAAUGAGUAUAAAUGCUGAGUGUAUGUUCCGAGCGGCACUUAUUAUAUUUCUUUAUUUAUUU